rnacentral:rRNA from 1 species
CCGUAACUAUAACGGUCCUAAGGUAGCGAAAUUCCUUGUCGGGUAAGUUCCGACCCGCACGAAAGGCGUAAUGAUUUGAGCACUGUCUCGACAAUGCAUCCGGUGAAAUUGAAGUACCAGUGAAGAUGCUGGUUACCUGCGCCAGGACGGAAAGACCCCAUGGAGCUUUACUCCAGUUUGAUACUGGGAUUCGGUACUGCAUGUACAGGAUAGGUGGGAGACGAAGAAGUUAGGACGCCAGUCUUAACGGAGUCGCUGUUGGGAUACCACCCCUGUAGUACUGGGUUUCUAACCAGUUGCCAUAAACUGGCAAUGGGACAAUGUCAGGCGGGGAGUUUGACUGGGGCGGUCGCCUCCGAAAGGGUAUCGGAGGCGCUCAAAGGUUCCCUCAGAAUGGUUGGAAACCAUUCGAAGAGUGCAAAGGCAGAAGGGAGCUUGACUGCGACACCGACGGGUGGAGCAGGUACGAAAGUAGGACUUAGUGAUCCGGUGGUAUAAAGUGGGAUUGCCAUCGCUCAACGGAUAAAAGCUACCCUGGGGAUAACAGGCUUAUCACUCCCAAGAGUUCACAUCGACGGAGUGGUUUGGCACCUCGAUGUCGGCUCAUCGCAUCCUGGGGCUGUAGCAGGUCCCAAGGGUUGGGCUGUUCGCCCAUUAAAGCGGUACGCGAGCUGGGUUCAGAACGUCGUGAGACAGUUCGGUCCCUAUCUGUUGUGGGCGAAGGAGAUCUGCGGAGAGCUGUCCUCAGUACGAGAGGACCGGGAUGGACCUACCGCUGGUGCACCGGUUGUUCCGCCAGGGGCAUAGCCGGGUAGCUAAGUAGGGAAAGGAUAAGCGCUGAAAGCAUCUAAGCACGAAGCCUACUCCAAGAUGAGAUCUCCCAUUCGCAAGAAGUAAGACCCCUUAAAGACGAUAAGGUAGAUAGGCCAGGGAUGGAAGUGCAGUGAUGUACGGAGUUGACUGGUACUAAUCGGUCGAGGACUUAAUCAG